rnacentral:rRNA from 1 species
UACGUAGGGUGCAGGCGUUAAUCGGAAUUACUGGGCGUAAAGCGUGCGCAGGCGGUCUGCUAAGACAGGUGUGAAAUCCCCGGGCUUAACCUGGGAACUGCGCUUGUAACUGGCAGGCUUGAGUGUGGCAGAGGGGGGUGGAAUUCCAGGUGUAGCAGUGAAAUGCGUAGAGAUGUGGAGGAACACCGAUGGCGAAGGCAGCCUCCUGGGCCAAUACUGACGCUCAUGCACGAAAGCGUGGGGAGCAAACAGG